rnacentral:rRNA from 1 species
AGAGCAUAGGGUGAAUGCCUAGGCACCAAAAGCCGAUGAAAGACGUGACAAGCUGCGAUAAGCCUUGGGGAGGAGCACAUAUCCUUUGAUCCAGGGAUUUCUGAAUGAGGAAACUCAGCUGGGAAAAAGAGCCCAGUUAUCCACACAUGAGUAAAGUAGUGUGUGAGAAGGGAACGUGGAGAACUGAAACAUCUUAGUACCCACAGGAAAAGAAAGAAAAAUCGAUAUCGAAAGUAGUGGCGAGCGAAAUCGAUAGAGCCCAAACCAGAAUCAGUAAUGAUACUGGGGUUCGGACAGCAUAAUUGAUUAAACGAGGAUAGCAAAACUGUUUUGGAAAAGCAGACUAUAAAGGGUGAAAGUCCCGUAUGCGAAAUUCAAGUUUACAUGGCUGUAUCCAGAGUAGUGCGAGACACGAGAAAUCUCGUAUGAAUGAGCGGGGACCAUCCCGUAAGGCUAAAUACUAAUUGGUGACCGAUAGCGAACUAGUACCGUGAGGGAAAGGUGAAAAGAACCCCGGGAGGGGAGUGAAAUAGAAUCUGAAACCCUAUGUUUACAAGCAGACAGAGCGAUUUAAGGCGCGAUGUCGUACUUUUUGUAGAACGGUCCAGCGAGUUAUAGUGUAUGGCAAGGUUAAGUUUUAAGUAAGGAACGGAGCCGAAGCGAAAGCGAGUCUGAAAAGGGCGAAUUAAGUCAUGCGUUAUAGACCCGAAACCGGGUGACCUAUCCAUGGUCAGGAUGAAGCAAGAGUAAAAUCUUGUGGAGGUCCGAACUGAUUGUCGUUAAAAAGGCACCGGAUGAACUGUGGAUAGCGGAGAAAUUCCAAUCGAACUCGGAGAUAGCUGGUUCUCCUCGAAAUAGCUUUAGGGCUAGCCUUGGAGGAAGACGAAUGGAGGUAGAGCACUGAAUGAGGUAGGGGCCUAACCAGGUUACCGAACUCUAUCAAACUCCGAAUGCCAUUCGUUAAUAUCCAGGAGUCAGACUACGGGAGCUAAGUUCCGUGGUCAAAAGGAAAAGAGUCCAGAUCGUCAAUUAAGGUCCCAAAUGGAUAGCUAAGUGGAAAACGAUGUGAUUUUGCGUAAACAACCAGGAUGUUGGCUCAGAAGCAGCCAUUCAUUAAAAGAGUGCGUAAUAGCUCACUGGUCGAGUGAAGUUGCGCGGAAAAUUACCGGGGCUAAGUUAUCAACCGAAAUUGCGGAUUUGUAAUUUAUUACAAGUGGUAGAGGAGCAUUCUAUUGUAGGAUGAAGUCAGAGCGUGAGCACUGGUGGACGAGAUAGAAGAGAGAAUGCUGGAAUAAGUAGCGAGAGCAGGGUGAGAAUCCCUGCCGUCGAAAGUCUAAGGUUUCCUGGGGAAGGUUCGUCCGCCCAGGGUUAGUCAGGACCUAAGGAGAGGCCGAAAGGCGUAUCUGAUGGAUAGCAGGUUGAUAUUCCUGCACUAUAUAAUACUUAAAAGAUGCAACUGACGCAGAAGUGGAAGGUGAGCAAGGAAAUGGAAAAACUUGUUCCGCAAGGGGGAGUGAAAAUAAAGUAACGAAGCACCAAGAAGCACGCUGACGAGAAAAGGUUGUAGAUAUUGUAUUAUAUACUUGUACCGCAAACCGACACAGGUAGAUGAGGAGAGGAUCCUAAGACGAUCGGGAGAAGCAUUGUUAAGGAACUCGGCAAAUUGACCCCGUAACUUUGGAAGAAGGGGUACUGGUGUAACAGCCAGUCGCAGUGAAUAGUCCCAAGCAACUGUUUAACAAAAACAUAGGUUUCUGCUAAAUCGAAAGAUGAAGUAUAGGAGCUGACGCCUGCCCAGUGCUGGAAGGUUAAGGGAACGUGUUAAUAGUAAUAUGAAGCACCGAACUGAAGCCCCAGUGAACGGCGGCCGUAACUAUAACGGUCCUAAGGUAGCGAAAUUCCUUGUCAGGUAAGUUCUGACCCGCACGAAAGGCGUAAUGAUUUGGGAGCUGUCUCGACAAUGUCCCCGGCGAAAUUGUAGUACUAGUGAAGAUGCUAGUUACCUGCGACAAGACAGAAAGACCCCAUGGAGCUUUACUGCAGUUUGAUACUGAGUCAGGCUAAUUUAUGUACAGGAUAGUUAGGAGGCUUUGAGGCUUAAGCGCCAGCUUAAGAAGAGCCAACGUUGGGAUACUAACCUUAAAUUAGUUUGAAUCUAACUCGUGAUCGUAAUCCGGUCAGAGGACAAUGUCAGACGGGCAGUUUGACUGGGGCGG